rnacentral:rRNA from 1 species
UACGUAGGGGGCCAGCGUUGUUCGGAAUUACUGGGUGUAAAGGGUUCGUAGGCGGUGUGGCAAGUCGGGAGUGAAAUUUCUGGGCUCAACUCAGAGACUGCUUCCGAAACUGGCAAGCUAGAGUAUGUAAGAGGGUCGCGGAAUUCCCGGUGUAGAGGUGAAAUUCGUAGAUAUCGAGAGGAACACCGGUGGCGAAGGCGGCCUCUGGACAGCAUCGUGACGC